UCUAGGAUAGCUCAGUUGGUAGAGCAUGAGACUCAGAGUUGUGGGUUCAAGCCCCAUAUUCAGCAAAAGAU